UACGGAGGGUGCAAGCGUUAUCCGGAUUCACUGGGUUUAAAGGGUGCGUAGGUGGGCAGGUAAGUCAGUGGUGAAAUCUCCGGGCUUAACCCGGAACUGCCGUUGAUACUAUCUGUCUUGAAUGUAGUGGAGGUGAGCGGAAUAUGUCAUGUAGCGGUGAAAUGCUUAGAUAUGACAUAGAACACCAAUUGCGAAGGCAGCUCGCUAACACUAUUAUUGACACUUGAGGCACGAAAAGCGUGGGGAUCAAACAGG
rnacentral:rRNA from 1 species